UACGUAGGGUGCAAGCGUUGUCCGGAAUUAUUGGGCGUAAAGAGCUCGUAGGCGGUUUGUCGCGUCGAAUGUGAAAACCCUGGGCUCAACCCCGGGCCUGCAUUCGAUACGGGCAGACUAGAGUUCGGUAGGGGAGUCUGGAAUUCCUGGUGUAGCGGUGAAAUGCGCAGAUAUCAGGAGGAACACCGGUGGCGAAGGCGGGACUCUGGGCCGAUACUGACGCUGAGGAGCGAAAGCGUGGGAGCAAACAGG
rnacentral:rRNA from 1 species